AGUGAACGCUGGCGGUAGGCCUAACACAUGCAAGUCGAACGGCAGCACAGUAAGAGCUUGCUCUUACGGGUGGCGAGUGGCGGACGGGUGAGGAAUACAUCGGAAUCUACUUUUUCGUGGGGGAUAACGUAGGGAAACUUACGCUAAUACCGCAUACGACCUACGGGUGAAAGCAGGGGAUCUUUGGGACUUGCGGGAGUGGAAGGGCCGGAGGCGGGUUUAGCUAGUUGGGGGGGUAAGGGCCAACCAAGGCGCCGACCCGUAGCUGGUCUGAGAGGAUGAUCAGCCACACUGGAACUGAGACACGGUCCAGACUCCUACGGGAGGCAGCAGUGGGGAAUAUUGGACAAUGGGCGCAAGCCUGAUCCAGCCAUACCGCGUGGGUGAAGAAGGCCUUCGGGUUGUAAAGCCCUUUUGUUGGGAAAGAAAAGCAGCAGGUUAAUACCCCGCUGUUCUGACGGUACCCAAAGAAUAAGCACCGGCUAACUUCGUG
rnacentral:rRNA from 1 species